GAUGAACGCUGGCGGCGUGCCUAAUACGUGCAAGUCGAGCGAAUGGAUUAAGAGCUUGCUCUUAUGAAGUUAGCGGCGGACGGGUGAGUAACACGUGGGUAACCUGCCCAUAAGACUGGGAUAACUCCGGGAAACCGGGGCUAAUACCGGAUAACAUUUUGAACCGCAUGGUUCGAAAUUGAAAGGCGGCUUCGGCUGUCACUUAUGGAUGGACCCGCGUCGCAUUAGCUAGUUUGUGAGGUAACGGCUCACCAAGGCAACGAUGCGUAGCCGACCUGAGAGGGUGAUCGGCCACACUGGGACUGAGACCCGGCCCAGACUCCUACGGGAGGCAGCAGUAGGGAAUCUUCCGCAAUGGACGAAAGUCUGACGGAGCAACGCCGCGUGAGUGAUGAAGGCUUUCGGGUCGUAAAACUCUGUUGUUAGGGAAGAACAAGUGCUAGUUGAAUAAGCUGGCACCUUGACGGUACCUAACCAGAAAGCCACGGCUAACUACGUGCCAGCCGCCGCGGUAA
rnacentral:rRNA from 1 species